GAAACUAUUAACUGUUUACUAGAGUGUAGAACAGUAUAGCUUAGUCUACCUUUUAGCUAGAUUCUCUUUACUUUUUAGAAUAAUCAACAUUAACAAUUUCACCAUUUCUAUGUACAACACAUUGUAUGGGCAGCAAGACAGGUUGUUAUGGAGGGGUUAUGAGGACAAGUGGCACGGGAUACGUAAAUCUAAAGAAAAAAGAGUGGAUCUAUGCAAAGCUAGCUAGUUAGAUAGCUGCUCUUUCUAUUUUUGUUGCUAAAUUAUCUUUGUUAAGAAGUGGAGCUAUGGCUCCUCUUGAUGAUUGUAAGUACUGGGCUGAUGAAAUAGUCCUGUACAAGUUGUAACUUUUUUAAAUAACCCCCACGUACACACAGUAAAUUUCAUUGUAAAAGAUGAAGAACGUUUGGUGAGUUUCUUCAACGUCCGCGCUUGACCUGUUUAAAGCUUCGUAGAGAGCAAAUUUUUACAAGUAGGUAGAGGAAAGGCACCUGUGAAAAAAAGUAAUUUUUACUUCAUUUCUACUGUUUUGGCUUAUAGCUCAAUUUAUUGUAGAGGAGAGUGAUUGGAAACGCAUGGGUGGACUCAGUACGAUUCUGGCCCAUCCGUGUUUCGUCCACGCCCACGCAAUGCUGUAGUGGCAACAGAAGCAAGGCGUCUUUUAGAAGGACAGAGAAGUGCCUUGGCCUCACAAACAAAUACACCUAUGCCAGCAAGUACUAUGCUCUUAUGUACCUAGUAUAGUUGUAACCUUAACCUAGAAGUGUCUACUAAAGAAGUUUCAUGUAGCUUUCCUUGACUGGCUGAGGAUUGUGGGAUUUUUUAACUCUCCAAAAAGAACUACAGCCUGUUUGACGGGUACAGUGGUGUGUUAAGUGUGUUUUGAAUGUAGCAACUUCAUGAUUGACUCUCCAUGGUAGUAUUUGCAAACAAAUUUAUUAUCACACUCGUGACUUUCGCUUGUGGGAUUUUGUGGAAGUGUAGUGUUGAAGUAGCAAAUGUUUAUAGGCUAGAAGUGACCUUUAAUGCUACUACAUGCUUUCGUACACUUCAUUUGUUCAUACGAAUGGAUCGGCAAGUUUUUUGGGGAAGAGUUAUGAGAGAAUAAACGACGGAAGUGUCAGUUGGAAGACCCAAGGGUUUACAUCGGCAGACUGUAGCACGUUCACUGAACCACUUACCAAAGAGGACAUUCAAGGAAAUUGCAUCAUUAUUUCUGUCUUUACAUCACGAGUACAAACAGUACAAUGAUAAUAAUAAUUAUUGUU